CCUACGGGGGGCAGCAGUGGGGAAUAUUGCACAAUGGGCGCAAGCCUGAUGCAGCAACGCCGCGUGAGUGAUGAAGGCUUUCGGGUCGUAAAACUCUGUCCUAAGGGAAGAAAAAAUGACGGUACCUUAGGAGGAAGCCCCGGCAAACUACGUGCCAGCAGCCGCGGUAAUACGUAGGGGGCAAGCAUUAUCCGGAAUCACUGGGCGUAAAGGGUGCGUAGGCGGCUGAGCAAGCCAGGGGUGAAAGGCAGUAGCUUAACUAUUGUAAGCCUUUG
rnacentral:rRNA from 1 species